rnacentral:rRNA from 1 species
UAGGGAAUCUUCCACAAUGGACGCAAGUCUGAUGGAGCAACGCCGCGUGAGUGAAGAAGGUUUUCGGAUCGUAAAGCUCUGUUGUUGGUGAAGAAGGAUAGAGGCAGUAACUGGUCUUUAUUUGACGGUAAUCAACCAGAAAGUCACGGCUAACUACGUGCCAGCAGCCGCGGUAAUACGUAGGUGGCAAGCGUUGUCCGGAUUUAUUGGGCGUAAAGCGAGCGCAGGCGGAAUGAUAAGUCUGAUGUGAAAGCCCACGGCUCAACCGUGGAACUGCAUCGGAAACUGUCAUUCUUGAGUGCAGAAGAGGAGAGUGGAAUUCCAUGUGUAGCGGUGGAAUGCGUAGAUAUAUGGAAGAACACCAGUGGCGAAGGCGGCUCUCUGGUCUGCAACUGACGCUGAGGCUCGAAAGCAUGGGUAGCGAACAGGAUUAGAUACCC